rnacentral:rRNA from 1 species
UUACCGUGAGGGAAAGUUGAAAAGCACUUUGAAGAGAGAGUUCAAGAGUACGUGAAACCGUUCAGGGGUAAACCUGAGAAACCCGAAAGGUCGAAUGAGGAAAUUCAUUCGCGUUUCGAUUGUCGACGUUGAGCUGUUGCGUGACAAACGGGGUACGCCUCGUUUGCGCCUUCAACUUUUCGAAUCGGCUUCGAACGCGUGCACUUUUCCUCUAGUAGGACGUCGCGAUCCGUUGAGUGUAGAUCUAAGGUCGUCGGUGGAGCUCGAAUGGAUUUUCGAAUUUUUUCGAACCCGACGUGUCCCGAUCUACUCGCUCGACGGUAUCACUAAGGCGCGGGGCCGCUACAUAAGUUAGCGUUCGACCUAUGGCAAGCACGUGCGGUGUGAUGGCGAUCAGACCUGGUCGGAUCCCGUCCUCGGACGACUGUUGGCACAUAGUGUUCUCGAACAGACCUCGUUGAAACGCCGAUCAGCGACGCUAUAGCUUUGGGUACUUUCAGGACCCGUCUUGAAACACGGACCAAGGAGUCU